rnacentral:rRNA from 1 species
CCCUUAGAUGUCCGGGGCCGCACGCGCGCUACACUGACAUGUUCAACAAGCCUCCUAGUUCGACAGGAUUUGGGAAAUCUUUGAACGCAUGUCGUGAUAGGGAUAGAUCAUUGCAAUUAUUGAUCUUGAACGAGGAAUUCCUAGUAAACGCGAGUCAUCAGCUCGCAUUGAUUACGUCCCUGCCCUUUGUACACACCGCCCGUCGCACCUACCGAUUGAAUGUUUCGGUGAAGAUUCCGGAUAGGACUUUUUUGAUUUAUUUCAAUUUUGUCUUAAAAGCUAUCUAAACCUCAACAUUUAGAGGAAGGUGAAGUCGUAACA